rnacentral:rRNA from 1 species
GAUGAACGCUGGCGGCGUGCCUAAUACAUGCCAGUCGAGCGAACAGACGAGGAGCUUGCUCCUCUGACGUUAGCGGCGGACGGGUGAGUAACACGUGGAUAACCUACCUAUAAGACUGGGAUAACUUCGGGAAACCGGAGCUAAUACCGGAUAAUAUAUUGAACCGCAUGGUUCAAUAGUGAAAGACGGUUUUGCUGUCACUUAUAGAUGGAUCCGCGCCGCAUUAGCUAGUUGGUAAGGUAACGGCUUACCAAGGCGACGAUGCGUAGCCGACCUGAGAGGGUGAUCGGCCAGACUGGAACUGAGACACGGUCCAGACUCCUACGGGAGGCAGCAGUAGGGAAUCUUCCGCAAUGGGCGAAAGCCUGACGGAGCAACGCCGCGUGAGUGAUGAAGGUCUUCGGAUCGUAAAACUCUGUUAUUAGGGAAGAACAAAUGUGUAAGUAACUAUGCACGUCUUGACGGUACCUAAUCAGAAAGCCACGGCUAACUACGUG